rnacentral:tRNA from 1 species
CCCUGGGUGGCUCAGUGGUUGAGCGCCUGCCUUCGACUCAGGACGUGAUCCCGGGGU